rnacentral:rRNA from 1 species
AGCAGCCGCGGUAAUUCCAGCUCCAAUAGCGUAUAUUAAAGUUGUUGUGGUUAAAAAGCUCGUAGUUGGAUUUCAGGCCUGGCUGGACGGUCCGCCUUCCGGGCGAGUACUGUCUGUGGUCGGGUCCUACCUUCUGGCGAAGCGUCAUGGCCUUAACCGGCCGUGGCGGGGAACCAGGACUUUUACUGUGAAAAAUUAGAGUGUUCAAAGCAGGCAAUUCGCUUGGAUACAUUAGCAUGGAAUAAUGGAAUAGGACAAUGGUUCUAUUUGUUGGUUUCUAGGACUGUUGUAAUGAUUAAUAGGGAUAGUUGGGGGCAUUAGUAUUCAAUUGUCAGAGGUGAAAUUCUUGGAUUUAUUGAAGACUAACUACUGCGAAAGCAUUUGCCAAGGAUGUUUUCAUUAAUCAAGAACGAAAGUUAGGGGAUCGAAGACGAUCAGAUACCGUCGUAGUCUUAACCAUAAACUAUG